rnacentral:misc_RNA from 1 species
ACUCAUUAAACGCACUGCAUCUGAUAUUUCCUCGUGCUUGAAAAGGCAUAUCACGACCUUCUACAGGAGCCUUCAUAUUAGACUCUGAUAACCUGAGGGAAAGACCAGAUGACAUCAAGGACCAUGGACUGGCAAGCGAGUUAAUCUUGCCUUCCUGAUCUAAUGCAAGUUCUCUGCUAGCGGCUGCUGCAGUUUGAUCAACAAAGGGUACACCAAAUCCAUGGGAGGAAUCAGCACGUGUCCCAAAGCCUGAUAACAAAUCUGUGUAGG